rnacentral:lncRNA from 1 species
UUGGUAAUUGUGCUCAUCAUUUUGUAAUUAUAUUUUUUCUUUAGAUAAUAUUGAACAGUGUGCUUAGCUUCUUCAUAAUAUAAACAUAAACCCUCUUUGCAACGUCGAGUCUUUUCCUACUCUGUAAGAAUUUUAAAAUAUAUUGUAACAAUUUGCAUUGGUUCCAACAUUGAUGAAUAUGUUUCAAAAAAAUUGGAAGCUGCCGCCAUUACUCGACUUAUUC